UUUCCUAGGCAACCACUGUGGCCUGGAAUCAUCAGGGAAACCUCAAGUGGGCUUAUAUCUGUUGUUCUAGACCAAAGUCAGAAUGGGGAGAGCAUUAAAACUAAGUGAGGUACAUCAGGCCACAGGAAUUUUUACACAUGCAUACUACGUAUUUCAAUAAUAUUCAUCCAGAACAAAGAAGACACUACCUGUAUUUUUCCUCUUACAAAUGUGGUGACAUCAUUCUCGUUCUCAAAGAUGGAGAGCGUCUGCAGUAGAUUCUGCUCGAGCCAUUCCCAGUGCUCGGUAACCUCCUUCCUGGAACCACCUGCAUGGACGCACAGAGCACAGCAACAGAUGUCAAGUUUCUUGUGAAACACAUUAAGAACCAAACUUCCUUCACCAGCUUUCAACACCAGCCCGGGAGACUGUUCAUCAUUCCUGGAGUUCUGACUUUAAUCCUCCGGAGAAGAGAUGCACAAGACAACAGAUACAAGGACACCCAAGAGCAAGGACUGUGUUCUAGAUUAUUUGAAUGAGGUCAGUCCAGAAACUGAGACUGAUUCAGAGUUGACAUGGGCCAGUAUAUGACAUAGGUUCAUAUACUGCUUGGACCUUUAGGAGCUUGGAAUUUAGCUCUUUUCUUCUCUCUUCUAGAGUGCAAUUUACAGGGUGACAUAGAUUUUGUCCCAAUGUGAGCUUUCCACCCAUGAUCCGCAGUGUGCCCGUGGAGAUAUAGAACCAUCUCAUAUAAUGAGUCUUGCUCAAUUAUGAAUGAGAUGUGAAAAUGGACCGGUGGCCGGAGGACAGCAGCCACCCCUCCCUAUCAGCUGCUUCGAAACACAGAGAUGAGGUCAUACUUGUGGCUUCCAACCUAGUCACCACAUUUCUAUCAGUUGCUAAGAAACACAUGUCACCUCACUUGGAAAUCUUUUACUAAGCCAUCCUAGCCUUGUAACAUAUGCAACUAUCCUGCAGGGCUUAACAAGAUGAGUGUCAGGAUGAGGUUAGGCAAUGCGAGAAUAAAUUCAUUUUAUCGUGAUCUUAUGGGGAGGGGGAGCUUUAUAGAUAAACUAACUGCCCACAGUUACACAUCUCGAUAACGUGUGCUUCCUCUCUCCAUAUUGAGGAGAGAGCCUGCGGUUUCACUGAUCCUUUGGGUGUUGCCUACGAUCCCAAGUUAUCUUUUAAUUGAGAUCUCAAGAGCGUCCGUUUUCUCCGUUCUUUGUCACAAGGAAUUCAAGAUAUCGCGAGUGAUUUCUAACAAAGAAAGGUGAGGGAUGCGGGUGUUAUCUGCCAUUGCACUCAGAUCUCUGGUCUCCAGACUAAAGUAUCCUUGACUGCUGAUAGGCGUGCUCAAGGGACUUCAGGGCUACUGUUUGAGGAAAAGCAAAAAAGAAAAGGGAAUCCAAGUUCAUGUUCUUUUAAUUUAGGACUAGAUUACCAAAAUGGCUGGAAACAGAUGCUUACAUGGGGCUGAGGCAGGUGUCCAGUGGCAAGGAUUUCGGUAAACGGUGAAAUGGUAAAAGUGAUGCUCUCAUAAACGGGAAUGAGAAGGGGUGUCAGCAGAGCAGUUGUGUGAGACCCUAAAAACAGACCUUCUGCAUCAUAGGUAUUUCCCGUGGCUCUGGACCAAGGGCCAGCCCAUGUAACCAUGCAACGCUGUGGCAAUGUCUGGAACUUAACCUGGGGCCCUCCACUUGGCUACCAUCACUUGGCUAUGUUUAAACAGUUCUUUGAGUCCACCUCAAAUUCGCUACAUGUGAAAUGGACAGCUAUGUACAACAACGGCACCUCUUUCCCACCUCAGACCAGCCCUGUGGGAAAGGGCGUGUUUCAGACACAGAUUAGAGAGCAGGAAACUCGUUCAAACACAAAGUGCAUUGACAGAGGAUUUCUAGCCCUUUGCAGUAAUAGAUUAAAAUAAUGUAAAUUUUUCUUUAAAAAAUGUUUAAAACAAA